GUCCAGCCGAGCAGACGGAUCAGAGUUUGCUUUUUUUGUCGCGGGUCGACGAAUGAGCUUCUCAGGUGAGGUAACGCAGUCUUGAAAAGCUGCAGUUUCAUCGGCCACCGGCAUUGUAACAAUUAUCUUCAACAUGCUUCGUUUGCUAUACAUCUGGACUGCCUUCCUUUUACCAUGCGCCUGGGCACAAAACAGCAUGCAGAACGUUAUCUUGGAGGCAAAGAACAUUACUGUUCCAGCAGGGUCAGAUGUUGUUUUGCCAUGUCAUAACCAGCGGAUGGUUUGGAGGCAGGAUCGCUUGCGGGACCGCCAGCGUGUUGUGCACUGGGACCUGAUCCGGAACCGACCCGAUUACACUGUGGAACGCAUUCUAGAUAUGUUCUCAGGAGGAACUGAGCGCCUGUAUAAUGACUAUAACAAGGGCCGUAUUACUAUAUCAAAAGAUGCCUUCAUUGAUGGCAACUUUUCACUAGUUAUUAACAAUGUGGACAUGAAUGAUAAAGGUGUUUAUACCUGCAACCUGCAUCACCACUAUUGCAAGGUCCACCAGUCCAUUAAAAUCCAGCUCAAUGUCACUAAAUCACCCCAAAAGGAGAGACGUGUGUGGGACGGUGAUAAAUCUGUGUUUGUGGUUCUGGUGGGGAAGAGUGUGGUUCUUCCAUGUGUGAACCGUAGAACAUUGUGGACGGACAGUCAUAGAGAUGAAGGCCAGCAGCAGGUUGUCCACUGGGACUGGCAAGCACCUGGGGUCACCCGUGACCGAGCUGACCGCCUCAUUGAUGUGUACGCCUCUGGAGAAAACCGGCAGUAUGGACCACUCUUCCUCCGGCAUAAGAUGAACAUCUCAACUGAUGCAUUCUCCAUGGGGGAUUUCUCUCUAAGAGUCCGUAACAUCCAGCCCUCGGAUAAAGGCCUGUUUUCUUGUCAUCUUCACCAUCACUACUGUGGUCUGCAUGAGAGGCGAAUCUUCAGGGUGAUCGUUGGUCCAUCUGUCCAGCCUUUGCCUCCAGCACGCUCCCCUACUGAAGCACCAACAACUCCCUUUUCCCGUCCAGUCAUACCUGCUGAUAACCCAAAUACAAACAUGGUUGAAGCACCUCAUGUCCUCAAUGUAAUUCUGCCAGAGAAUCAAACUAACCUCUUGCACCAAGUGGGCUACAUCCUGGCAAUCUUCCUGUUGCUUCUCCUCAUGCUCAUUGGAAUCAUAAUGACCACAAGGCACUGUAGAAAGAAAGGGCCUGAAUUUGAGGUUCGGAGGUACGAGCAGGGUCGAAGGGCAUCAAUUGAGCUAGAUGUCACAGAAAUGCAACCCUACAAUCAUGAAGACUUGCGGCCGGGUAAGGUGUAAUCAGUAGUGUAGUCUACGGCAUACACAGUCAAACGCUGUAUGCCCCCCAUCUUUCACAGGAUUUUGUGUAUGCCCACCUGAAAUAAGUGAUGAUACGCAAGGCCGUAGCUAGUGGGGUGAAAGGUGGUAACAAUUCUAGAGGCCCACAGGUCCAGGGGGUCCCCACAUCAAAUUCUAAUCUGUAUUUUCUAAUAGGAAAGGGGCCCAGAGCAAUAAACAUUUAGGGGUCCCUGAAUACCUUGCUACGGCCCUGAUGAUACGUAUGGCCCUGGUACAACGAGUAGGCUUUUGACCCGGAACUUUUUCUAAUGACACGGUGUUAUUAUUAUUAUUUUAAAAAGUGUACAGAGAUUCUCUAUAAAUGCGCAUGGAGCAGCGGGAGGUGGGAGCACAACUGAUGGCACAGGCAAGACAGACGGUCCGACUAAUCUGAUCCUCCAAUCAGAACGUUCAUUUCAGACGCGACAGGAUAUUUGCUAACCAAUCAUAUUUUUCAUUUCAGUAAGGGGCAGGACAUUUCCAGCCUCUAAUGCACAAGCGUCCCUGGAGUAAACAUAAUUUGUGUGAUUGCAAGAAUAACAUAAUGAAAGAAAGGGCAGAGACAAACAACUAUCCCUCUCCAAAGGUUAUCGAUCUCAACAGAGAAAUGGAGAGAAUGUCAUGGAUGUGAUUCAUGGUGAGCUGCUGGCUGGUCCAGAGCAUGCUGAAUGAGAAGAAAUUCAAAGACUUUACAAUCAGAGGAGCUUUACAUUUUUUCCCUUUACAUUGAGAACACAAACAGAAUUACUGUUGUGUCUGCUUCAGCAUAAUUACUGCUUACAUUAUUGAUCUGAAACAUCUUAUUUCAUAAUACUCGAAUUCUGUUAAUAUCAGUAAAUCAUUAGAAGUGAAAUCUUUUUUCUUAUCAUAAGUGUGCAACAGUGGUUUCACAAUGGUAAUCUGUUGAACUGAAGUUACACACUUAAAAUAUAGCAAGGCCAAUAUGCUGAAUUGUGCAUUUGUAUUACUCUAGUGCUGUUUUCUGUGUGGUAGAAUCUACUGUAGAUGCUAAAUCUGGCAAUGUCACAAUGGUACUUACCAGAAGAGGUGCAUUUACUGAGAAUAAAUGGGUUUUCUCCUCUAAGAAUAGAAAUUUCGUAUAAAUCUCAGGAAGUAAACAAAUAGCUGUGGCUUCAGGACUAAACAGCGAAAGAUGGUAUACAAAUGAACCUCAACGACCUUUUAGCAAUUAAAUGUCUGUACUGUUCUAGUAUGUAUGUGUAUCUAUACUAUAAUCUAUAAUAUUACUUGUUUUAUGAAUUUUUAAUCUUACUUUAAUCCUAAUAAUUUGACAAUGACUUCUUUGGUCCUAGGUUUUCAAUCCUUGUUUUAUAGCAUUGUAUACAUGGCACAGUGCAGUUUAUUUGGUUUUGCAAAUAUGAGCAAGACCCAGUUAUCUUUUUUUUUUUCAUCUUUAUCAGUUUUUAUAAUUUUUCUUGGUCAGUAAUGCUCAUUUACACAGGUUAGGAAGUAUUCAUGCAAAAGGUUACAGGAUUAUGCAUAGAAAAACCAUACAAAUGCAAUGAUCUGAUAAGCAGUAGAUUUUAUUCAAUCAGGAGUGUACAUUUAUCAUUAGAGUGGCAGUACAUGGUUGUGUUGGUAGAGGAUCAAUGUAAUAAAGUUUAUUCUGAAAUACUUUGUAUAAGAGCUGCAAUGUAGCUACAUCAUAUCUCUUUUCAGUAAACAAUGUUCUGUCAACUGUU